rnacentral:tRNA from 1 species
GCAUCCGUGGUGAAACGGCAGACACGCGGGAUUUAGGUUCCCGUUCCGAAAGGAGUGUGGGUUCAAGUCCCACCGGAUGCACCA